rnacentral:rRNA from 1 species
CCUACGGGAGGCUGCAGUGGGGAAUAUUGGGCAAUGGAGGAAACUCUGACCCAGCAACGCCGCGUGAAUGAUGAAGGUCUUCGGAUUGGAAAGUUCUUUUCUAAGGGAAGAAGAAAGUGACGGUACCUUCGUAAUAAGCCUCGUCUAACUACGUGCCAGCAGCCGCGGUAAUACGUAGGAGGCAAGCGUUAUCCGGAAGGACUGGGCGUAAAGGGUGCGUAGGUGGUUUGACAAGUUGGUAGCGUAACUCCGGGGCUCAACCUCGGCACUACUACCAAAACUGUCGGACUUGAGUGCAGGAGGGGCAAACGGAAUUCCUAGUGUAGCGGUGGAAUGCGUAGAUAUCAGGAGGAACACCAGUGGCGAAGGCGAUUUGCUGGACUGCAACUGACACUGAGGCACGAAAGCGUGGGGAGCAAACAGGAUUAGAUACCCUGGUAGUC